rnacentral:rRNA from 1 species
UACGAGGGGGGCAAGCGUUGUUCGGAAUUACUGGGCGUAAAGGGCUCGUAGGUGGCCAACUAAGGCAGACGUGAAAUCCCCAGGCUUAACCUGGGAACUGCGUCUGAUACUGGAUGGCUUGAAUUCGGGAGAGGGAUGCAGAAUUCCAGGUGUAGCGGUGAAAUGCGCAGAUAUCGGGAGGAACACCUAUGGCGAAGGCAGCUCGCUGGGACGUUACUGACGCUGAGACGCGAAAGCGUGGGGAGCAAACGGG